rnacentral:tRNA from 1 species
AUUAAUAUAGUAUAAUUUAUUACAAUUAACUUCCAAUUAAAAAAUCUUAAAAAAUUAAGUGUUAAUA